rnacentral:rRNA from 1 species
GGUAGGGGGGGCAAACGUUGCUCGGAAUUACUGGGCGUUAAAGGGGUGUGUAGGUGGGCUGAGCAAGUCUUAGAUGAAAUCCCGAGGCCUACCCUCGGAACUGCCUUCGAUACUGCUCAGCUUGAGGAUGGUUGAGGAGAACGGAAUUCCCGGUGGAGCGGUGAAAUGCGUAGAUAUCGGGAGGAACACCAGAGGCGAAGGCGGUUCUCUGGGCCAUUCCUGACACUGAGACACGAAAGCUAGGGGAGCAAACGGGAUUAGAUACCCCGGUAGUCCUAGCCGUAAACGAUGGGCACUAGAUGUUUCCGCUUUAUGUGGGAGUGUCGUAGCUAACGCAUUAAGUGCCCCGCCUGGGGAGUACGGUCGCAAGGCUG